AUUGAACGCUGGCGGCAUGCCUUACACAUGCAAGUCGAACGGCAGCGCGGGGGCAACCCUGGCGGCGAGUGGCGAACGGGUGAGUAAUAUAUCGGAACGUGCCCUAGAGUGGGGGACAACCAGUCGAAAGAUUGGCUAAUACCGCAUACGAUCUAUGGAUGAAAGUGGGGGACCGCAAGGCCUCACGCUCCUAGAGCGGCCGAUAUCUGAUUAGCUAGUUGGUGGGGUAAAGGCCCACCAAGGCGACGAUCAGUAGCUGGUCUGAGAGGACGAUCAGCCACACUGGGACUGAGACACGGCCCAGACUCCUACGGGAGGCAGCAGUGGGGAAUUUUGGACAAUGGGGGCAACCCUGAUCCAGCAAUGCCGCGUGAGUGAAGAAGGCCUUCGGGUUGUAAAGCUCUUUUGUCAGGGAAGAAACGGUGGGGGCUAAUAUCCUCUGCUAAUGACGGUACCUGAAGAAUAAGCACCGGCUAACUACGUGCCAGCAGCCGCAGUAACAC
rnacentral:rRNA from 1 species